GGGGGGAGAGAGAUGGAACAAACAUACUGUACCACUGUGUCAGGAUGUCCCCUUAAGCAGAGCCGAAACUCAAGCGGUGCAGCUGGGAGCUGCAGACAUACCAGGCCGUGCAAGCCUAUGCAGGUAGCAGUGAUAAAUAUCGAUAAAAUUCAAGCCCCCGCUACAAGUUUGAUGGGCAGAGUAUCCAAAUCUUCAAUGGCUCAAACUACUUCUAGUCACAGUGAAGUUGCUAAAAAGUGGAGACUGCCUCCUUCUGAAUGAUCUCUUCCAUUAUGCACUUCCUCAACUGAAAGAACAGAAAAAUGAACCGUCCCCAAGCCUCUUGAACCGGCUGCAGUUGGCAUCACUUAGCUAUCACUCCCUUUUUUCCAGAUUCAGUUACCUUGUACCCACUUGGCCUCUCUCCCAAAAGCAUGGCUUUGAUUGGAAAAUGUCUGGGGAACCCUGUGGUGCGGAGCAUUUUUGCUCUAAUGUGCCACACAACCUAUAUCUCUGUUGAAUUUGUAAUUGUGUACGGUUCUAAGUGGACCUAUUUUACUAACUUUUUUUUGUGUGGCUUUACCCCAUAGUUUUUCUGCUAACCCAUCAUCAGGCGGAGUGAAUUUG